UACGUAGGGUCCGAGCGUUGUCCGGAAUUACUGGGCGUAAAGAGCUCGUAGGUGGUUUGUCGCGUUGUUCGUGAAAACUCACAGCUCAACUGUGGGCGUGCGGGCGAUACGGGCAGACUGGAGUACUGCAGGGGAGACUGGAAUUCCUGGUGUAGCGGUGGAAUGCGCAGAUAUCAGGAGGAACACCGGUGGCGAAGGCGGGUCUCUGGGCAGUAACUGACGCUGAGUAGCGAAAGCGUGGGGAGCGAACAGG
rnacentral:rRNA from 1 species